AGUAACGAUCCGGAAACGGGUGCUAAUACCGCAUAGUUUUCUUGAUCGCGAUGAUCGGGAAAGGAAAGACGGCCUUUGUGCUGUCGCUUAUGGAUGGACCCGCGGCGUAUUAGUUAGGUUGGUGAGGUAACGGCUCACCAAGACGAUGAUACGUAGCCGACCUGAGAGGGUGAUCGGCCACAUUGGGACUGAGACACGGCCCAAACUCCUACGGGAGGCAGCAGUAGGGAAUCUUCCGCAAUGGACGAAAGUCUGACGGAGCAACGCCGCGUGAGUGAAGAAGGUUUUCGGGAAUCGUAAAACUCUGUUGUCAGAGAAGAACAAGUUGGAGAGUAACUGCUCCAGCCUUGACGGUAUCUGACCAGAAAGCCACGGCUAACUACGUGCCAGCAGCAGC
rnacentral:rRNA from 1 species